GAAUGGUGACAAUACUCAUCAAUUUCUAUUAGAUUACAAAAGUUUCAGAAGGUAUUAUAACAUACUGACUUUAAAUUAGUUCCAAUUUACAUUUUAAUCAAAUGCAGAACAAUGCAAGCACGAGAAAGUAAGAGCACCGACACGAAACUCAGAAAAUAUAAGGAGAAACAUGAAGCACGCACAUCAAACCAAACACGAGAAAAAGAAAAAUUAAACACUAAAACACGAAGACAUGUGAUAUAAAAAGGCCG
rnacentral:lncRNA from 1 species